rnacentral:rRNA from 1 species
GGCCUACGGGAGGCAGCAGUGGGGAAUAUUGGGCAAUGGGCGCAAGCCUGACCCAGCAACGCCGCGUGAAGGAAGAAGGCUUUCGGGUUGUAAACUUCUUUUGACAGGGAAGAGAAGGAGACGGUACCUGUCGAAUAAGCCACGGCUAACUACGUGCCAGCAGCCGCGGUAAUACGUAGGGGGCAAGCGUUGUCCGGAUAUACUGGGUGUAAAGGGCGUGUAGCCGGGUUGACAAGUCAGAUGUGAAAUCCUGCGGCUAAACCGCAGAACUGCAUUGGAAACUGUUUUU